AACUUUCAACAACGGAUCACUUGGUUCUGGCAUCGAUUAAGAACGCAGCGAAAUGCGAUAAGUAAUGCGAAUUGCAGAAUUCCAGUGAGUCAUCGAAUCUUUGAACGCACAUUGCGCCCUUUGGUAUUCCGAAGGGCAUGCCUGUUCGAGCGUCAUUAUCACCCCUCAAGCCCCGUGCUUGGUGUUGGACGGCUGGUCGAGCGAUCGACCCCUCCCAAAGACAAUGACGGCGGCCUGUGGUUCCCCCGGUACACUGAGCUUUCACGAGCACGUAUCGGAUCAGGGCACCCGGGACCCGGUCCUCUCCCUUCAUCGGGAAACUUCUAUGGUUGACCUCGGAUCAGGUAGGAAUACGCGCUGAACUUAAGCAUAUCAAUAAGCGGAGGCU
rnacentral:misc_RNA from 1 species